rnacentral:rRNA from 1 species
CGGUAAUACGUAGGGCGCGAGCGUUAUCCGGAAUUAUUGGGCGUAAAGAGCUCGUAGGCGGUUUGUCGCGUCUGCUGUGAAAGCCCGGGGCUCAACCCCGGGUCUCCAGUGGGUACGGGCAGNCUGGAGUUCAGUAGGGGAGACUGGAAUUCCUGGUGUANCGGUGAAAUGCGCAGAUAUCAGGAGGAACACCGAUGGCGAAGGCAGGUCUCUGGGCUGUAACUGACGCUGAGGAGCGAAAANAUGGGGAGCGAACAGGAUUAGAUACCCUGGUAGUCCAUNCCGUAAACGUUGGGCACUAGGUGUGGGGGCCAUUCCACGGUUUCCGCGCCGCAGCUAACGCAUUAAGUGCCCCGCCUGGGGAGUACGGCCNCAAGGCUAAAACUCAAAGGAAUUGACGGGGGCCCGCACAANCGGCGGAGCAUGCGGAUUAAUUCGAUGCAACGCGAAGAACCUUACCAAGGCUUGACAUGUGCCGGACCGUCCCAGAGAUGGGGCUUCCCUUCGGGGCCGGUUCACAGGUGGUGCAUGGUUGUCGUCANCUCGUGUCGUGAGAUGUUGGGNUAAGUCCCGCAACGAGCGCAACCCUCGUUCCAUGUUNCCAGCACAUCGGGUGGGGACUCAUGGGAGACUNCCGGGGUCAACUCGGAGGAAGGUGGGGACGACGUCAAAUCAUCAUGCCCCUUAUGUCUUGGGCUUCACGCAUGCUACAAUGGCCGGUACAAAGGGUUGCGAUACUGUGAGGUGGAGCCAAUCCCAGAAANCCGGUCUCAGUUCGGAUUGGGGUCUUCAACUCGACCCCAUGAAGU